rnacentral:misc_RNA from 1 species
GUUUCAUACUCUUUUAGAUUUUUUUUUUCCCAAAGAAAAUAUGGCUGCAAAUGAACAAAAGGAUAAAGAGAGGAAUUUAGAUCUCUCUCCCAUAUUUUUGUUUAGUUUUCAGAUAAGAUCAAAUCAAUAGGACCUCAACAAAGCCUAAAUCCUGACUAUCUAUAGAAGGGAGAGCAAAAAAAAAUGGCUGCAUAUGUAGUGCACACAAACAAAAGAGAAGUGUUUUCUCCAACAAAUUUAUCUAGCACCAGAGACUCACAAGUUUGCAAUCAAUGAACUGGCAUCUGAUAUUCGUGCGCAAAUUGAUCUUAAUUUACAGUUUUUUCUUUUUUUGGAGACAGAAGGGAGGGGAUUUAGCGAAGGGAAUGAUUAAUUCAAACAUGCAGAAAAUUAGAUAUUUUACUUAUUGUUUGCACUUCUUAAUUG